UUAUGACAAUUUACAUUAUGUUAACAGUUCUACAACAGUUUUUAGCAUGCUAUCCGUUUCGUUUAUUUUAUUUAAAAAUAAACUUAGUUAGAAAUAUGAAUCAAUUAGGAUUCGAACUUAGGACCUCGAAUACCAAUAAACUUAGUUAGAAAUAUGAAUCAACUAGGAUUCGAACCAUCAAGCCAUUUGCCAUUUGCACUAGGAACAGGCAGUACACUUGUACAAAAGUUUGAAAACAAAACCUGCAGGGACCACGUUGCAAUAUCAAAAUAUAUAGUACUGGGACCAUGCCAUACGUUUUUCUCUUUAACAUAGUAAAGUCAAAAUGAUAGGCUCCCUUCAAUGAAUCACAUUAAGCACGGCAACGACUCAGGUCAAAUAAAAUUUCAUUUUUUCCAUUUUAUUUACGAAAUUUAAUAAGUGCAUAAAAACCUAAGAGUCGUCUUAUUAAAUUCACAUCGUUUCUAAAAUAGAUGGACUGUGUGAUUCAAGUAUCAGAUGAGAUUCACGAUGAGUACCUAACCACUUCUUGUACUAUUGAAAAGCGGAUCCUCCUUUAGAAAUUCGCGAAGCAUAUGUUAGCAUAGCAUUAUUCAAAGAGUCAAGGAUUAAGUGCGUGCUAGUUUUGCCGAAAGUGAAGUUACGAUUGAAAUUGAUUUCUAAUUGAACUAGAGUUCAAGUGAAUAUUUUUUACUUUCCUAUUGUUUGUUUCUAUUAU
rnacentral:lncRNA from 1 species